CAGACGAUGCGUCAUGCAUAUCAAUAAGCGGAGGAAAAGAAACUAACAAGGAUUCCCCUAGUAACGGCGAGUGAAGCGGGAAGAGCUCAAAUUUGAAAUCUUAAAGGGUUUCCCUUUACGAAUUGUAGUUUAAAGAAGUGUUUUCUGUUGAGGUUUUGGUAAAAGUUCCUUUGGAAUAGGACAUCAUAGAGGGUGAGAAUCCCGUAUUUGACCUUUACUUUCAACUUUGUGAUACACUUUCAAAGAGUCGGAUUGUUUGGGAAUGCAGUCCAAAAUGGGUGGUAAAUUUCAUCUAAAGCUAAAUAUUGGCGAGAGACCGAUAGCGAACAAGUACCGUGAGGGAAAGAUGAAAAGAACUUUGAAAAGAGAGUUAAACAGUACGUGAAAUUGUCAAAAGGGAAGCGUUUGACACCAGUGUUGUUUUUCUGAAAAUCAAUUAAAGAACUGUUUAUGCUAAGCUGUUUAGACUUUAUCAGCUAUCUGUUUAGUUUUGAGCUUUUCUUUAAUGCACUUUUCAGUUAACAAGUCAACAUCAAUUUCUUUUGCUGUAAAAAAGCUUGAGGAAGGUGGCUUGAGAUUCGUCUUAAGUGUUUAUAGCCUCUUGCCUAUGCAGUCGGAGAGAUUGAGGUCUGCAGCGUAGAUCCUUCGGGGCUAAAUGCAUUUGUGCUAAGUUAUAGCAUUUUAUAGACAACUUGUUGACUAUGAUUUGUCUUGUAGCUUACUCGCUUAUGUUAUUUUACCUACGCUUAGGAUGUUGACACACGCGCGUGCUCG
rnacentral:rRNA from 1 species